ensembl:lncRNA
CUGUGGCUGAGAAAUAAAAAUGAGGUCAAGCAGGGUGUUCUUGUCUGUAGUGGCAGAAGUGAUCAGCUGUGAAUACCCUCUUGACUGAAACUGCUCCAGAAUCUGUUUUCUUCCACUCUGUAACUGGUUCUCAUUAAAAUCUCCACACACAAUUAUUGGGUGACAGUCCAUUAUUUCAAGUGAAUCUAAAAGACUUACCAGGUUUUGCAUGAAUGGUGUCAAACUGUAGUCAGGAGGUCUGUGUUCUUGUCUGUAGUGGCAGAAGUGAUCAGCUGUGAAUACCCUCUCGACUGAAACUGCUCCAGAAUCUGUUUUCUUCCACUCUGUAACUGGUUCUCAUUAAAAUCUCCACACACAAUUAUUGGGUGACAGUCCAUUAUUUCAAGUGAAUCUAAAAGACUUACCAGGUUUUGCAUGAACGGUGUCAAACUGUAGUCUGGAGGUCUGUACACAACAGCAAUGAGCGCAGGGAAUGGAGCCUGAACCUUCAACACUAAAAACUCAAGAUCAGUGACAUUAUGCAGAUACUGUUUUACCUGAACCUGAAAAUGAUUCCUCAAAUACACAACAACUCCACCACCACUUCUGCUGGCCAUGUGAGGAAAGUUUGUGUAGGACACAUGUCUGUUGCGUUUGAACAUGGUGUAGCCGUCCAAAUGAAGACUGUCUGCAACAAAGGAGCCUUGGAGGUGAGACUCAGUGAGACACAAAACAUCUGCUAAACACAUUUCAUGAUGACUCUUGAUGUCACUGAUGUGAGAUGGCAAACCCUCCGUAUUGUGAUGGAUCAGUGUAAGAGUGUCAAGUCUGUUGGCUGUUUCUCUGACCUGAAGAAGAGGCAUCAUUUCCUCAACACUGGCUUGUCUCAUGGUUUGAGCGCUGCAGUUACCUCAGGAUUGGCGUAAAUCUUUUUCUCAUCCAAGUCCUGCAAAUAGAGUCCACUGAGAGACGUCACCCUGCUGAGAGCAACAUAAGCCAUACCUGGUUCAAAAAUGUUCUUCAUUGAAACUACAGCUGUCUGUGUUGU